CCUACGGGUGGCAGCAGUGGGGAAUAUUGGACAAUGGGGGGAACCCUGAUCCAGCCAUGCCGCGUGCGUGAAGAAGGCCCUCGGGUUGUAAAGCACUUUCAGUGAGGAAGAACGCCUGGUGGUUAAUACCCAUCAGGAAAGACAUCACUCACAGAAGAAGCACCGGCUAACUCCGUGCCAGCAGCCGCGGUAAUACGGAGGGUGCGAGCGUUAAUCGGAAUUACUGGGCGUAAAGCGCGCGUAGGUGGCUUGAUAAGCCGGUUGUGAAAGCCCCGGGCUCAACCUGGGAACGGCAUCCGGAACUGUCAAGCUAGAGUGCAGGAGAGGAAGGUAGAAUUCCCGGUGUAGCGGUGAAAUGCGUAGAGAUCGGGAGGAAUACCAGUGGCGAAGGCGGCCUUCUGGACUGACACUGACACUGAGGUGCGAAAGCGUGGGUAGCAAACAGGAUUAGAUACCCUGGUAGUC
rnacentral:rRNA from 1 species